GCUUCUUUAGCUCAGUUGGUACGAGCGUCCGACUGAAGAAUUCAGUUUCUGCAAGUCGCCACUGUUGCAAGUGGACUUUAUCGGGAGGUCACCUGUUCGACCCAGGUAAGGAGCA
rnacentral:tRNA from 1 species